UACAGAGGUCUCAAGCGUUGUUCGGAUUCAUUGGGCAUAAAGGGUGCGUAGGUGGCGCCAUAAGUCAGGUGUGAAAUCUCGGAGCUCAACUCCGAAACUGCACUUGAUACUGUGGUGCUUGAGUACUGGAGAGGAGAUUGGAAUUUACGGUGUAGCAGUGAAAUGCGUAGAUAUCGUAAGGAAGACCAGUGGCGAAGGCGAAUCUCUGGACAGUUACUGACACUGAGGCACGAAGGCCAGGGGAGCAAACGGG
rnacentral:rRNA from 1 species